UUACUUUCACAGGAACAAUACUAAACUUAGAACUAGAGAGAGGAUUAGCAUGGCCCCUGUGCAAAGUUGACAUAUUUCGGGAAGUUUUCCAUAUUUUU
rnacentral:snRNA from 1 species